rnacentral:rRNA from 1 species
UGAGGAAUAUUGGGCAAUGCCCGAAAGGGUGACCCAGCAACGCCGCGUGGAGGAUGAAGGUCGUAAGAUUGUAAACUCCUGUUAGAGGGGAAGAAUAACUAAGUUUGGAGCUUAGUAUGACUGUACCCUCAGAGAAAGCCCCGGCUAACUACGUGCCAGCAGCCGCGGUAAUACGUAGGGGGCAAGCGUUGUCCGGAUUUACUGGGUGUAAAGGGCGCGCAGGCGGAAUGGAAAGUCAGUGGUGAAAUCCUACAGCUUAACUGUAGAACUGCCUUUGAUACUUUCAUUCUUGAGUUCGGGAGAGAGAGACGGAAUUCCAGGUGUAGUGGUGAAAUACGUAGAUAUCUGGAAGAACACCAGUUGCGAAGGCGGUCUCUUGGUCCGAUACUGACGCUGAGGCACGAAAGCGUGGGGAGCAAACA